AUACACCAAUGAGAAUGGUUGCAAGACCAUCUACUUUUGAUGCAAGAUCUACUGACACAAAGAACACAACAAAGAGGCCAACAAAGGGUUCUUUUUCUCAAUCAAAUGCACGUCUUCGCUUGUGAAGAAUAACAAGGAACAGAGCCAUGUCAACAGGUGCGGCAGCGGAUGCUCAAGCUCUCCUUCGAUGCAGGCUCUCCGACCCCCGUUUCUCUCUCUCCCCUUCACCAUCGCCAGAUAGCAAUUACAGUAAGCUCAAGUUCAUCCUUUCCAACUCCAUCUUUGAGUCAUGUAACAACUCUGUCCUGCUUCUUGGCCCCAGAGGAUGUGGCAAGACCACGGUGUUGGAGCUUGUUCUCAGAAAGUUGCAGACUGAUCAUCCCGAUAGAUUAUCUGUUGUUAGAUUGAAUGGACUACUGCACAGUGAUGACCGUUGUGCGCUUAAGGAAAUUGUGAGGCAAUUAUGCACUGAUCAUCAAUUGAUUUUCUCAAAAAUGGCUUCAUGUGAUGACAAUUCACAAUUUAUGCUUAGUAUGUUACGGGAGUGCGCAUUGGCUCACAAAGCAAUCAUAUUUGUGCUUGAUGAAUUUGAUCUAUUUACUCCGGGGAAGCAGCGCUUACUUUAUAGCCUACUGGAUGCAAUGCAAUCUGUGCAAUCACAAGCUGUGGUUGUUGGUGUGAGUUGCCGCUUGGAUGCAGAUCAACUCUUAGAAAAGAGGGUGAGAUCUCGUUUCUCUCACAGGAAGCUGUUGUUCUUGCCUCCCUCAAUGGAAGAUCUGCAAAGAUUACUGAGGCAAAUAUUGUUUUUGCCAACUGAUUCGAGUUUUCGUCAUAGUGACUUUGCAGUUAAGUUCAACGCAAAGCUCAGCGUUAUAUUCAAUGGUGAGGGAUUCAUUGACAUUCUGAAUUCUGUAGUUGGCGUUGAUAACAGUGUCAGCCAUCUGCUAAACUUUCUAUUCUGUGCAGUGUGCAAUAUGGAUUCUGGAUCUGGAUUUCUCUCCCUUGGGAGCUUCAAGUCUGCGAUGUUAUCAGUCCAAAGACAACUCAAGCUUGAAAGUCUUCAAGAUGUGUCUAUCUUAGAACUCUAUAUUCUGGUUUGUAUGAAAAGAUUGGAGGCUAAAGAUUGUGGAUCCUACAACUUCAAUUCCAUAAUGAAAGAGUAUAAAGGCUUGCAAGAUGCUUCUCAAACUGGUGCCUAUUAUUCUCGGCAGGUUUGUCUUCGGGAUGCUGAAGGAAGGAGGACGUUCUCAUGCAUGGAAGGGGAUUUUACUUGGCUUACACUUGAAAGACAAUGUACAAUGGAAUAUUGGUAAUGGUCAGAUGGUAGAUUUCUGGGUGGAUUCAUGGUUAGCAGGUCAGUUUCACUUUCAGAUUUGCAUGGUAAUGGCAUUGAGGAGGAUUUGGGGGAUGUUGGAGGGAUGAGGGUUUCAGACUUUAUAGGAGGUGCACUUCAGUCUUGGGUUUUGCCACCUCCCACAUUUGUUUUUUUGAGAUAUAUAUGGAGGGAGGUUGAGAAUUAUACUCUUCCUCUACAACCCAAAAAGGAUUCACUGGUCUGGAUUCACUCUGUUGAUGACCUAUUUUCUAUUAAAGGGGCAUGAGAUUUUAUUAGGCAUUAAGGUUCAUUAUUGCCUAUUUUUCGUGCACUUUGGUCUUCUAAAUGCCACCCACAGGCGAAAUUGUUCUCAUGGUUGGACUUGCAUAAUCGACUGCCCACCUCAUUUUUAUUGCAGCAGCGGGGCAUGCAGUUGGACUCUUUAUGUCCCUUUUGUAGCAACCAUGAUGACAUCCUUUUCCAUCUAUUAUUCCAAUGUGCUUUUGCGCAUGGUGUAUGGAGAUCAUUAGCUUGGAGAUGUGGAAAACGGUACAAUUCCUCAUUCAUGGAUAGACACUUAGCCCCUGCAAAGCAAUCUUUGAUGCAGCAGCCUUUCAGAACGCUUGCAACAAACACCUCUCUAUUUCAAGGGUCCAAGAGCGGGAUUGAGGCGCUCGGAAUCCUCUUAAUUUCCUGCAACUAGGAGCAAGUCAUGCAGGCACUUGACGCCGCCCCAUUGACCAUUACCUAGAGCAAGUCAUGAAGACACUCGGCAUGUUCAAUCUCGGUACCCCAUGAGCAAUUCUCAAUGAGACACUCGACCUACUCACAAUGUGGUGAUGGCAUGCAAGUCAUCAAGACAUUCGACGCAUUUGUUAGGGGGGCGUUUUCAGUCACUCGUUUUUCUAAUAAUCCACUUGACACCAUUAAUGGCCAAAUCAGUCUUCUCUGAGCAUUAGCUGGGUGGGUGGCAGAAUUAGAAGCAAUAGGUGGAUUAUUUUAGAAGCCUUUGAACACCUUUUAGAAUGUGAGUUGGUAGGUUUUACAGAUAACAACAGAGGACAAAGUCUGUCUAUUGAAUUCCGUGCAGUGGUGC